GAUCGUAUAAAAGCGCCUGGACUAAGCUUGGACGGAAAAAAGCUUAGUUGACGAGGAGGAGGUUUAUCGAGUGUUCGGCGGAUGCCUCCCGGCUGAAGCGAUGACAGCCGCAAGUUCUUUCUUAAAACAAAGAGGCGACUCUUUGCACAAAGGAAAGAGCGUUCAUCGCA
rnacentral:ncRNA from 2 species